GUUGGCAGUGGAGGUGAGGAUAUUUCUUGCUGGACAUCUCUGCCUACUUGAGGCCUUCCAAAGGGUAAGGAAGACUGUGUUUCAGCCUGACUCCAAUUGAAUAUGAAAGUGUUGCAGCAUUGGAUGGUGACUUUGGGUAUGAACAAUUGCAAAUGGAUUUCUCUUCCCUGUGUCAACGUGCCUGUGGAGCUGCAACCAGCCUGGAGGUACACACUGAAGUUAGUUAUAGUAGAUUUUGAAGCACUGUAUAGUGGUAGAGGUGGUUCUAGAUCAUUAUAGCUGGAAGUCUGAAGUAG
rnacentral:lncRNA from 1 species